rnacentral:rRNA from 11 species
CUUCCGUAGGGGAACCUGCGGAAGGAUCAUUA